CUCUAAGCAUAUUGCAGCCACUUGGUCUCUAAGUCAUGUGGGCUCACCUAACAGUUAUUGCUCGCACUUCUUAGUUAAGUUAGACUCACCAUUCACAAGCAGGUAUAAAAUCAUCAUUUGAUCCCUCACUUAAUAGUUAUUGGGCCCAAUUCUAUCUUUACCUUGCAGCAACUCUUUGCUAAUAGAGUGGUUGCGUGUUUCCGAUGCAACUGAACUACUGUGACCAACUGAGAAUAAUCAAUGUUGGUAGCAUGCCUGCACAUCUACAACGGUGGA
rnacentral:lncRNA from 1 species